UGAACAAGAGGGAGACAAGGUGACUGAGCAGACUUUUGUUGCUGCUCUCUCUCUCCCUUUUUCUCUCUCUCCCAAUGUUUUUUUUCUCCUCCUCCCCCUGUAGUGAGUGUUUUUUGCUAUGGAAGAGCAAGAGGAGGUGCAGAUUUCAGCUAGUGAAAAAUACAGGAGGAAGUAAAGAAAAUAAGAAGAAGAGGAGGACGAUGAUUGAGAAAAGGCAAGAGAGAAAGACUUCACCCCCAUCUCCCUCUUCCCCUCCCUCAUUCCUUCCUCUGCCAACGACUUUUACCUCAGAAAUAGCGGAGGGACCAACUUCAAAAGGCAGUCAGGAGGGAACUGGAGUGUGAAAUCUGAGAAGAGAAGCAAGAUGAGAGGCUGACCGGCGCUGUGUUUGCUAUGCUGUCCAGGAGCUGCCAGGCCAGCAGGCUAAUCUGGAACCUGGAAUUAAUCUCAGCUAUCAUGGAGGACCCAGCUGCUGAAGGUUGAAGGCCUGUGAGAUGGAAUACGCACAAGACAGCCAGGUAUUGACUGGAUGCCGAGGCAGUCCUCUCUCCUUCUCCAGCGGGCCUCAGUUUCAGUGUUGCCCCGCACCAGGUCAUGUUGGAUUUAAAGACAGACUGGAAAUCCCCUGAUGAAUCAACAUUUAACACUUCGCUGCCACAUCUCCCAAAAAGCUGCAAAUAUGUUUUUGGACGUUUGAAGGAAAAGAGCUUAAGCGUGUUGGCUGCAGUUAAGGUUUUGGAUCAUUUUUUGCUUCAACAGCCUUGAUACCAGGGAGCUAUACAUAUGUGCAUCCUCACAGAUAUUUGAUCUUUGGGUAUCAAGUUGGUUUCUUUUUCUUUUUAACCUCAGCUGGCAAGAUUUUAAAGGACUCUUUAACUGUCGUUCUUUAAGAAGAUGUUAAGUCAUUCACUGACCUGCUCUCAGUCUUUUGGAGGGUCCUAUAGCAGCAUAAGAAUCUUUGUGACAUUAUAGAAAUUACUUUUUAACAAAAAACACCUUUUUUUUUGAGUAUGAGUCUAUGGUUUAGAGCCGCAACAAUUAACUAAUUAAUUGAUGCAUUGAUCAGCAGAAAAUUGAUGGGCAAUUAUUUUGAUAAUCAUUUAAUCCUUUCAGUCAUUUUAUUAAGCAAGAAUGCAAAUAUUUGCUGCUCCUAGGCUGUAAACUUUAAACUGUAAACUUUGUGUUAUGGACUCAGAUGAAACAAAAAAAAAAUGUAGACAUCAGUUUGGACUCUGGAAAAUUAUAAAGGCCAAUUUUUCCCUACUUUCAGACAUUUUACAACAAAACAAUUCAUGAAUUAAUUUAUAAAAUAGACAGAUUAAUUGAUAGUGAAUUACUUAUU